UCUAAACAGUGUCUGAAAAAUGACAGUCUUGUAUUUUCAGAAACGUUUUGCUGUCAGACUUCCAUUUCCUAAGUUAGGAACAUUGUUUCUCUUAAUGUGGAACACCUACUAACAGUUUAAUAGUUUCAACAAGGAGGUUAAAAGGAUGAUUAAAAUGUGCUACUUUAUACUUAAACUUCUACUGAUAAAUUAAUAUGAUUCUGUACUAUGGAUAUCAACUUAAAAAACACUGAAGGUGUUACAGACUCUUUCACUGUGGAACUUCGAGACGCGUGGACAUAAAGUACAGUCUUUGGUUAUUUCCCCAAUAUUUUCAGACAAUGAGAGGUGUUCUGAGUUUGCUUCCGGGCAUUUUCCUGAGAUCUCAGUGGAACCCACAUUUAUAACCAUCUUUAGCUGCUCUGGAGAGAUUUUGCAUAAAUGACAUUUGAGCCUUGGCAUCCAGCCCAGUGAAACAUGACUAUUACAAUUUAACCCUCAAAGAAAACCAAGCGUUUUGUGAAUUGUCACAUAUCUGUGUGAUCAGGAUGGAAAAUAUUGAUUAUAUUGGGAGGAUGCAAAAUCUUAUUUUGAAUGGCAAAUUUUAUCAAGUAGUGAGUAUAAAUGAAGUCCACUCAUGCCAAAGUAUUGAUAUAGCCCUUUAUGAUUUAUUCUUGGAUGGUGACAUCUCAGUGAAGAAUACAGGUUUUUGACAAUGAAGAAACCCCGUAUUCCUAUAAUUUUCAGUAAACCCAAGACUCAUAAGGACAGAGUUAAUCCCCCAAAUGAGACCCAUUAUAUCAGAGGGUGGUUCUAAGAUGGAGCUAUUUUUGCUGACAAGAAGCUAAAACCUUACAUCACAAACAUUUCCACCAUCCUAAAAGACUCUUGGGACUUCCUUGGUAAAAUAUGAACCAAGUGAUAUUUUGGUCAUGGCAGACGUCAAGGACUUGUUCACCAUUAUUCAACAAUCUGCUGGCCAUGAAUAGUUUUGUGGCAUUCCUUCUACUAACAUAUAAGUGUCUGCACAGGACAUUAACACUCUAUGUAUUGUGAUGGAUUUGGUUCAAGCCAACAACUUUUAUUUAUUUUUAAUAAUGAAUGUUUUAAGUAAUCCUCUGUAGUGGCAAUGGGAGUGGCUUUCACUCUAACCUUUACCAAUCUGGUUUUAUGCUAGUGAGUCCACUUAUUUCUAUGGAGCAGUGUAUGUUGGCCCUUCAAUUAAUUAUAUGUUGGUUUCAUGGAUGAAUAUUUGUGUUGUUUGGAGUGGUGAUUUCACUGGACAUAAUCAACUUUUUCAAUACAUUGUUUCUAGUACUUGUUUUCCAAAACUUUCUUUUAACAUUCAACAUGUAGGUAUUUCCUUCCUUGAUGUAUAUUUACAUAAUAAUUUUGCUAACAACCAUUAUGAGUCUACCAUACAAAGAAAAGACAUUUUUCCCAACAACUUUGUUUUUGUAAUGCUCAUUCUUUCAAAUAAAAAAAGGGUAUUGUUGAGGAACAGUAACCUUCUUUCCAGAA